ACGCUAGCGGCAGGCUUAAUACAUGCAAGUCGUGGGGCAGCAGGGGCGUAGCAAUACGUUCGCUGGCGACCGGCAAACGGGUGCGGAACACGUACACAACCUUCCUUAAAGUGGGGGAUAGCCCGGGGAAACCCGGAUUAAUACCCCGUAACAUAGUGAAGUGGCAUCGCUUUAUUAUUAUAGCAGUAAUGCGCUUAAAGAUGGGUGUGCGACUGAUUAGGCAGUUGGCGGGGUAACGGCCCACCAAACCUACGAUCAGUAACUGGUGUGAGAGCACGACCAGUCACACGGGCACUGAGACACGGGCCCGACUCCUACGGGAGGCAGCAGUAAGGAAUAUUGGUCAAUGGACGCAAGUCUGAACCAGCCAUGCCGCGUGGAGGAUGAAGGUCCUCUGGAUUGUAAACUUCUUUUACCUGGGAAGAAAUCCACAAAUUCUUUUGUGGUUGACGGUACCAGGUGAAUAAGCACCGGCUAACUCCGUGCCAGCAGCCGCGGUAAUACGGAGGGUGCAAGCGUUAUCCGGAUUCACUGGGUUUAAAGGGUGCGUAGGUGGGUUGGUAAGUCAGUGGUGAAAUCUCCAGGCUUAACUUGGAAACUGCCAUUGAUACUAUCAAUCUUGAAUACCG
rnacentral:rRNA from 1 species